rnacentral:rRNA from 1 species
GACGAACGCUGGCGGCGUGCUUAACACAUGCAAGUCGAACGGAAAGGCCCUGCUUUUGUGGGGUGCCCGAGUGGCGAACGGGUGAGUAACACGUGAGUAACCUGCCCUUGACUUUGGGAUAACUUCAGGAAACUGGGGCUAAUACCGGAUAGGAGCUCCUGCUGCAUGGUGGGGGUUGGAAAGUUUCGGCGGUUGGGGAUGGACUCGCGGCUUAUCAGCUUGUUGGUGGGGUAGUGGCUUACCAAGGCUUUGACGGGUAGCCGGCCUGAGAGGGUGACCGGCCACAUUGGGACUGAGAUACGGCCCAGACUCCUACGGGAGGCAGCAGUGGGGAAUAUUGCACAAUGGGCGGAAGCCUGAUGCAGCAACGCCGCGUGCGGGAUGACGGCCUUCGGGUUGUAAACCGCUUUCGCCUGUAACGAAGCGGGAGUGACGGUAAUGGGUAAAGAAGCACCGGCUAACUACGUG